AUCAGGUCCGCUCCAAACGGAUAAGUUCGGGUCGCGGCUCUCUGUCCCGCCUGGCUUGUGGAGCUGCUUUGGGAUUCCUUUCUCUCCAGUAUCCCCGUAGAACCCACCUCUGCCUUACAGUGCCGGUUGGCUUCACUAAAACAGAAUCCUUGAGGGUCACGUGUGCUCAAGGAGCCCAUCCCUGAGUAUGGCAGGAUGUCUGGGAUCCAAGACCCUGUCUUUCCCCGGGGAAAGAGCCCCCUGGAUUGCCCAGCUGUUCAAGCGUUUCUGAGAUCAAAGUCCUGCAGUCACGGGUAAUGAA
rnacentral:lncRNA from 1 species